rnacentral:rRNA from 1 species
AUGGGCGAUGCGGGUGAAAUUCAUCUUCAGAUUGCAGGUACACGAGGCGAAGAUGAAGCUCGAGCCGUAGCUGGCAAUGGCACGUCCCCGGCGCCACCGUCGGUGUCGGAGCGCGUACAAUGGUGGGCGGUGGUGCUCGUCAACAUCGUGCUCGUGCUUGCCGGGCAGAGCGUGGCGAACCUCCUCGGCAGGAUCUACUACGACCAGGGCGGCGGCAGCUUGUGGAUGGCCACGGUGGUUCAGUCCUGCGGCACGCCGCUCGCCAUCCCGCUGCUCCUCUACUUCGGGCGCCGCCCAAAGGCCACCGCGACCGCGGUGACGCGGCCGCCGCUCCUCAAGAUCUCGGCCAUCUACGCCGGCCUGGGGGUCCUCCUCGCCGGCGACAACCUGAUGUACUCCUACGCGCUGCUCUACCUGCCGCUGUCGACCUACUCGCUCGUCUGCGCGACGCAGCUCUCCUUCAACGCCGUCUUCUCCUACUUCCUCAACAAGCAGAAGUUCACCGCGCUCAUCCUCAACUCCGUCGUGCUGCUCACCUUCUCCGCGGCGCUCGUCGGCGUGAGCCACGGCUCGGACGGGACCAACAGCAGCGUCCCGCCGGGGAAGUUCCCGCUGGGGUUCGCGCUGACGCUGUCGGCGUCGGCGCUCUUCUCCCUGAUCCUGUCCCUGAUGCAGCUGACCUUCGACAAGGUGCUCAGGAGCGACACCUUCUAUGACGUGAUGGAGAUGCAGUUCUGGAGCAACACCGCCGCGGCCAUCGUGUCGGUGGCCGGGCUGUUCAUCUCCGGCGAGUGGAGCACCCUGCACGGCGAGAUGGACGGGUACAAGAAGGGCAGGGUGGCCUACGGGAUGACGCUGGCGUGGACGGCCAUAUCGUGGCAGCUGACCACCAUGGGCCUGAUGGGGCUCGUCGCGUCGGUGUCGUCGCUCUUCACCAACGUGAUCAGCACCGUGGGGUUGCCGCUGUCGCCCAUCAUCGCCGUCAUCUUCCUCGGCGACCGGAUGGACGGAGUGAAGGUGCUGGCCAUGCUCGUUGCCGUAUGGGGCUUCUUGUCCUACAUCUACCAGCACUACCUUGAUGAUGCCAAGGUGAAGAAGAUACUGGCUGAGAGAUCAGCCGAACACCGGACUGUAAAACUCGCUACAGAGUGA